rnacentral:rRNA from 1 species
GACGAACGCUGGCGGCGUGCCUAAUACAUGCAAGUAGAACGCUGAAGGAGGAGCUUGCUUCUCUGGAUGAGUUGCGAACGGGUGAGUAACGCGUAGGUAACCUGCCUGGUAGCGGGGGAUAACUAUUGGAAACGAUAGCUAAUACCGCAUAAGAGUAGAUGUUGCAUGACAUUUGCUUAAAAGGUGCAAUUGCAUCACUACCAGAUGGACCUGCGUUGUAUUAGCUAGUUGGUGGGGUAACGGCUUACCAAGGCGACGAUACAUAGCCGACCUGAGAGGGGGAUCGGCCACACUGGGACUGAGACACGGCCCAGACUUCUACGGGAGGCAGCAGUAGGGAAUCUUCGGCAAUGGACGGAAGUCUGACCGAGCAACGCCGCGUGAGUGAAGAAGGUUUUCGGAUCGUAAAGCUCUGUUGUAAGAGAAGAACGAGUGUGAGAGUGGAAAGUUCACACUGUGACGGUAUCUUACCAGAAAGGGACGGCUAACUACGUG